rnacentral:lncRNA from 1 species
CGAAAGGACAUCCACAAAACAGUACGAGCUCACAGGCCCAGACAGACUGGGGAGAACUGUUUCCAUCCUGCAAUAGCAUAGCAGAAUGCAGUGAUCAAGUACAGCAGGAAUGGCUGUAGAAGAGCAGAGAUGAAGAUCUCCCACUUCUCCUCACAUCUGAGUUGACUCAGGUUCUGUGGGCAAACAUACCUGUGAGUUUCUUUCACAGAGAGGAAC